rnacentral:rRNA from 1 species
UGCUGGAGGUAUCAGAAGUGCGAAUGCUGACAUAAGUAACGAUAAAGCGGGUGAAAAGCCCGCUCGCCGGAAGACCAAGGGUUCCUGUCCAACGUUAAUCGGGGCAGGGUGAGUCGACCCCUAAGGCGAGGCCGAAAGGCGUAGUCGAUGGGAAACGGGUUAAUAUUCCCGUACUUGGUGUUACUGCGAAGGGGGGACGGAGAAGGCUAUGUUGGCCGGGCGACGGUUGUCCCGGUUUAAGCGUGUAGGUGUGUGUUCCAGGUAAAUCCGGUUCACUUUAACACUGAGGCGUGACGACGAGGCACUACGGUGCUGAAGCAACAAAUGCCCUGCUUCCAGGAAAAGCCUCUAAGCAUCAGGUAACAUCAAAUCGUACCCCAAACCGACACAGGUGGUCAGGUAGAGAAUACCAAGGCGCUUGAGAGAACUCGGGUGAAGGAACUAGGCAAAAUGGUGCCGUAACUUCGGGAGAAGGCACGCUGACACGUAGGUGAAGUGAUUUACUCAUGGAGCUGAAGUCAGUCGAAGAUACCAGCUGGCUGCAACUGUUUAUUAAAAACACAGCACUGUGCAAACACGAAAGUGGACGUAUACGGUGUGACGCCUGCCCGGUGCCGGAAGGUUAAUUGAUGGGGUCAGCGCAAGCGAAGCUCCUGAUCGAAGCCCCGGUAAACGGCGGCCGUAACUAUAACGGUCCUAAGGUAGCGAAAUUCCUUGUCGGGUAAGUUCCGACCUGCACGAAUGGCGUAAUGAUGGCCAGGCUGUCUCCACCCGAGACUCAGUGAAAUUGAACUCGCUGUGAAGAUGCAGUGUACCCGCGGCAAGACGGAAAGACCCCGUGAACCUUUACUAUAGCUUGACACUGAACAUUGAGCCUUGAUGUGUAGGAUAGGUGGGAGGCUUUGAAGUGUGGACGCCAGUCUGCAUGGAGCCGACCUUGAAAUACCACCCUUUAAUGUUUGAUGUUCUAACGUGGACCCGUAAUCCGGGUUGCGGACAGUGUCUGGUGGGUAGUUUGACUGGGGCGGUCUCCUCCUAAAGAGUAACGGAGGAGCACGAAGGUUGGCUAAUCCUGGUCGGACAUCAGGAGGUUAGUGCAAUGGCAUAAGCCA